ensembl:misc_RNA 7SK 7SK RNA
AGAUGUGAGGGCCGAUCUGGCUGCAACAUCUGUCACCCCACUGAGCGCCAGGGUUGAUUCAGCUGAUCUGGCUGACUAGGCAGGUGUCUCCUUCCUCCCUCACCGCUCCAUGUGAGUCCCUCCGGAAGCUGAGUUCUGGGUGGAAGAGGACGAGGGCCUUCAGAGAAUAGAGACAGACCAGUCUUUGGUAGAGGGUAUAGGAGUAGUUGCGCUCCCCUGCUACAACCCCCAAACAAGCUCUCAAGACAGUAUUUCCUCGAUAAUAACCUUUAGCUGAGGCACAUAAGGAGACAAAAACAAUGAGCAUAAUAAAAGUCUGACAAUUAUACUGAACGGUACUU